GAGGGAUGCAGAGGGCUCGCCGGCCCUACAUAUCGCUGUCGCCAAGGGCCAUGUGGACUGUGCCAAAGUCCUUUUGGAGGAAGGGGCCAACGCUGAAGAGAAAGACGCCGCAGGACUCACGGCCAUUGUGCUAGCGGCCAAACAAUGUCAACCGAAAAUAAUAAACGAGCUACUUGGAAGUGUGUUAGCUCCGCGGGGACAAAACUGGAGCAUAGUUCACUGGGCAGCGUACGUUGGGGAUCACAAGUGGGUGGAAUCGGUACUGGCGGAACGAAGAGAAGCGAGAGCGCCGGGAGGUCUGUCGGCGCUGCACGUGGCGGCGGCU